UACGUAGGUGGCAAGCGUUAUCCGGAAUUAUUGGGUGUAAAGGGUGUGUAGGCGGGACUUUAAGUCAGACGUGAAAAUCAAGGGCUCAACCCUUGACCUGCGUUUGAAACUGGAGUUCUUGAGAGUGGGAGAGGUAAACGGAAUUCCUGGUGUAGCGGUGAAAUGCGUAGAUAUCAGGAGGAACACCGGUGGCGAAGGCGGUUUACUGGACCACAACUGACGCUGAGACACGAAAGCGUGGGGAG
rnacentral:rRNA from 1 species